rnacentral:rRNA from 1 species
GUAGAGAUGUGGAGGAAUACCGAUGGCGAAGGCAGCCCCCUGGGCCAAUACUGACGCUCAUGCACGAAAGCGUGGGGAGCAAACAGGAUUAGAUACCCUGGUAGUCCACGCCCUAAACGAUGUCAACUAGUUGUUGGGGAUUCAUUUCCUUAGUAACGUAGCUAACGCGUGAAGUUGACCGCCUGGGGAGUACGGUCGCAAGAUUAAAACUCAAAGGAAUUGACGGGGACCCGCACAAGCGGUGGAUGAUGUGGAUUAAUUCGAUGCAACGCGAAAAACCUUACCUACCCUUGACAUGGUCGGAAUCCCGCUGAGAGGUGGGAGUGCUCGAAAGAGAACCGAUACACAGGUGCUGCAUGGC